GAUGAACGCUGGCGGCGUGCCUAAUACAUGCAAGUCGAGCGAAGCGGGGACGGGUGAGUAACACGUGGAUAACCUCCUAUAAGACUGGGAUAACUUCGGGAAACAGGAGCUCAACCGGACACGUAUAGUUGGAUCCGCGCUGCAUUAGCUAGUUGGUAAGGUAACGGCUUACCAAGGCAACGAUGCAUAGCCGACCUGAGAGGGUGAUCGGCCACACUGGAACUGAGCCACGGUCCAGACUCCUACGGGAGGCAGCAGUAGGGAAUCUUCCGCAAUGGGCGAAGGCCUAACGGAGCAACGCCGCGUGAGUGAUGAAGGUCCUCGGAUCGUAAGACUCUGUUAUGAUGGACGCGGUACCUAAUCAGAAAGCCACGGCUAACUACGUGCCAGCAGCCGCGGUAAUUC
rnacentral:rRNA from 1 species